rnacentral:rRNA from 1 species
AUUGAACGCUGGCGGCAGGCCUAACACAUGCAAGUCGAAUGCGUGGCGGACGGGUGAGUAAUAUCUGGGAAACUGCCUAAGGGAGGGGGAUAACUACUGGAAACGGUAGCUAAUACCGCAUACCCUCAGCUGUGCACAUAUGGGAUUAGCUUGGUUGUGGGGUAAAGGCUCACCAAGGCGACGAUCCCUAGCUGGUCUGAGAGGAUGACCAGCCACACUGGAACUGAGACACGGCCCAGACUCCUACGGGAGGCAGCAGUGGGGAAUAUUGCACAAUGGGCGCAAGCCUGAUGCAGCCAUGCCGCGUGUAUGAAGAAGGCCUUCGGGUUGUAAAGUACUUUCAGUGGGGAGGCGUUACCCGCAGAAGAAGCACCGGCUAACUCCGUGCCAGCAGCCGCGGUAAUAC